CUUUUCCUGAAAAUCUACCUUUUAUAGUAUCUAUACUGUGCUAUACCGUUUAUUUAUUUCAGUUAUUUAUAGUUAUCUAUACCCUUUUCGGAAUCUUAGAACGUGAUGAGUUAGCGGGGACCCAGGUCACAUCCGGGACUUGGCCCCCGACUAUGUAAUGUAUAAUCGUGAGAGCUCUGAGGCUCUGAACUCGUGUCAGAGGAUAACUCACCCUGUUCGUCACACGUUUGGAGCUCGAGUCUCAGGGAAGAAAAUAUCAAUUCGUCCCAUGGGUCGGUCUCUGGUUUGGGAGUUUCUUCCGGUUCGGGAUCAGUUCGUGUCUGAACCUGAUCCGUCUCCUCUGGCGGUUCGAACUCCAUUCGCGCAAUCGCCGGUUUCAGACGGUUCGCAUGAACCAAAAUUCUCUUUUUCGUUUUAAUAUCUUCUAUGACAAAGUUAACCCGGACUGGUUUCCUCUAUUAUUC
rnacentral:lncRNA from 1 species